rnacentral:rRNA from 1 species
UACGGGGGGGGCAAGCGUUGUUCGGAAUUACUGGGCGUAAAGGGCUCGUAGGCGGCCAACUAAGUCGGAUGUGAAAUCCCCAGGCUCAACCGUGGGAACUGCAUCCGAUACUGGAUGGCUUGAAUUCGGGAGAGGGAUGCAGAAUUCCAGGUGUAGCGGUGAAAUGCGUAGAUAUCUGGAGGAAUACCGGUGGCGAAGGCGGCAUCCUGGACCGACAUUGACGCUGAGGAGCGAAAGCUAGGGAGCAAACGGG